rnacentral:lncRNA from 1 species
CCCACAGCUAGCAUCCGACUCCUUUCUGGGGGAGGCAAGGCAGGAGAAGAGAGCGCCACGCAAUUUAGGGCUAAAGGAUUUGGAUCUCUUGCCAAGUCUUGGUCUCUCAAAAAUAUUGUCUUCAAGUUCCAAAGGACUCAUGCUGAAAAAUGCUCUCCAUCUCCAGGGAGAAACUGAUGAACUCCGAGUGCAAACUGAAACGAGAAAACUGAGACCCAGCAU